UCUCAUUUUCAUCAAAUAUUAUAACAUCAAUUCACCAUGCCACUAAAUAUGAUAAUACUUGCCAAAAACAACCAACCUCUUCCAUGAGAAAGAAGAUUGACAAUGAGAGGGAAAAGAAAAUUUGCGAUGGUAAAAUUGCUUUGUUCUUUUAAAGAGAAAAAUGUAUGACCGCCUAAGGAAUUCCUCCGGUGUAAAUUAAAUUAAAAGUAGCAUUUCAUCUAUUUAUCAAGAGUGAGUCAUAAUAGGUUGACAAAAGACACUUGGAACAUAAUGCUCCUUUUCCUUCUGUUAUCUUUAAGAAAUUUAUGAUAAACCACUAAAAGCUAUAUCCACUUGAUGCAUUAACAUACAAAUUGAUUUUAUUUCAGGGUUGACAUUCUGAUUUUCAUGCUUCUUUUAAGUGUGUGUCUGGCGAUCUUGGGGUUUUUGCAUGAAUUACUUCCUUUAGUUUUAACAUAGGAAACGCAUUUUCAUGUACCAGCAAAAAUUACCACUGCUCUAUCUUGGCAAUACAAUGAUCGGAAUUUGCUUUAGGAACAUGGUUUCAUCUAAUCCAUGAUUAAAGCUUUUCCUUGGGUAAACCAAAAAAUUACUAAAUCUCAUAUUAGAUGAGUGAUUAGUAUGCAUAAUUGGCAGUAUAAAUCUUGACCAAGCUUAUUGGUUAUAGGGCAUACUUCAAUGGUAGACCCUGUUGUAAAAUAUCCGCAAUUUAUACUUUCAUGAUAUAAGAUACAAAGCAAGGUCAACCAUAUGUUAUGGCUGUAAUCUAUUUACCUUUUAAUUUUGCCUAGCUUGCUGUCCCAUGCAAAGCCUCUUUGAAUUAUCUGGUCUUGAUAUUCCCUCUGCAGCUACACUAUUGAUUUAAUAGAUUUUGUUUUGGAGUGUCUAACCUAACUGUUUUUAUUUUACGAAAAAAAAUUCCAGUGGAAAUCCCGGUGGUAUCUCUCAACGAUGAUGGAAAGAUCGUUUUAUCAGAGGAACAAGGACUAUCUGACAGGGAACCAGUGAAUAAGGAGAAGAGAAAAAUUAAUCUGAGCAGCGUUCCGUUUUCAUUGACAUGUGUACUUCACAAGAACUACAUUUUGGCAGAUCCUACUGCCGAGGAAGAAUCUAUUAUGGACACUAUUGUAACCGUGGUUUUAGAUUCAUCUAGUCAACUCGUCUCGCUUCAAAAACCAGGUGGAACAGUUCUAGCAUAUACAUCAGCUAUCCAGGUCAGUUGAAUUUUUGGUCUUGAUGUCCCUUUUUAGGUUUUAAUGAUGCUUUAGCAGCAUAAUACAUUUUAGUGCUCUCAUCAUGGUGUAUUUUUCACCGUUAACUUUUGAAGCCACCUUGACUCCAAGAUUAGGCCUGAAGGUCAUCUUCUUGUCCAAAGUUAAAUAGUUUAUAGAAAUAUAGGUUGUCAUGUUCAGAGUUCAAACUUUAUUUUAUUUUUCUUAUGAUGCUUUACAUUUUAGUGCUCUUAUCAUGGUGUAUUUUUCACCGUUAACUUUAGAAGCCACCUUGACUCCAAGAUUAGGCCAUAAGGUCAUUUUCUUGUCCAAAAGGGAAAUAGUUUAUAGAAAUAUAGGUUGUCAUGUUCAAAAUUCGAACUUUUUGGUGCUUUGAAGUCUUUUUCUUUAUGAUGUGUUUGCCGUACAAAUUGUUGUAAAGUUAGGGUUAAUGUAAUUUUUGUCACUUAAACUUGACAACUAGGUCCAACUUGGUACUCUUAACUUUUUUUUAUUAGUCUCAGAACUCGGUAGUUUUUCGUAAUUUAGUCAUUGAACUUUGAUUCCAUUAAGGUGUGAUGCUUUACACUCUAAUAUUGUACCAUGUCAGCUUUUCCCAAUUAUAUAUAUAUAUUAGGUGAUUAUGUAGCACAAUCUCAGAGCACCAUGUCAUCACACUUUUAACGAAGCUCAAGUUGAAGGACCAAAUUGGUAAAAGUUGCAAGUUCUAGGACUAACGUGGACAAAAAAAGUUAAAAUACCAAAGUGAACUUAGUUGCCAAGUUCCAGAACUAAAAAUUACAUUAACCCUUGAAAUUAUAUAUUGUUAAAAUUAUGGUUAAUGUAAUUUUUUACCCCUAAACUUCGCAAUGAAGUCCACUUUAGUAUCUGAAUUUUUUUUAUCCACAUUAGUCUUGGAACUUGGCAGCUUUUUCCAAUUUUGUCCCUAAAUUGGGUUCCAUUAAGGUGCGAGCAUAACACUCUAAGAUUGUGCCACUUCUUCAAACAAUCUCGGAGUGUCUCGUUAUCACACUUUAAUGAAAAUCAACUUGCAAUGACCGAAAUGGAAAAGGUUGCCAAGUUCCUAAACUAACAUGGGCCAAACCUAAUUGCAAAGUUCAGGAGCUAAAAAUUAUGUCAACCCUUAAACUUAUACUGAACCAAUGGACCAAGAGCUUGAUAUGAAAAUAACUUUUCCAUGGAUGCAGGACUGCAUUGCAUUAACACGGCAAAGAGUGAAGGAACUUCAAAAGAUUCUAGAGGAAGCCAUUUCUGGUAUGGAGGUUGACUAAUCUUGCACCUACUAAUUAAAUGCUAAUAAUUGAUCUUUUUAAAAUUAUUGUUGUUUGUUCUAUUGCGUUUGUUCAGUGACAUUAUUAGUUCAGGGACUGGUUUUUGGAGGGUGUAAGGAACCAAUUCUAGUAUGCUUAAAAGUGGCAAAUUUUGUUUAUUGCCUUUUGGUAUGUUAAAAAUGUUCCGUAUUUGUUCUAUAGAAUUUCUUAAUGUUGAAAGUAUGUGCUAAGUCCCUCUGUUAUAGGAACUGAAUCAAAUUAGUUCAUUUACUAUUAAAUAGACUGAUUUUGGCUUGUAUUAUUAAAAAGAAUCAAAUAAUGUCAAAUUGUAAUAAAGUUAACAUUUAGUGUUUGAAAAAUUAAUUUUUAUUCGUUUCUAGUUCAACUCCAAAUAAAGGAUUUUAUUUGCAAAACCAAUAUUAACCUUGUCAAAGACGUAACUUUGUUGAAAUUUCACCUUAAUUGUAUAGGGAUUAAAUUGAUUUAGAGGAAUUAAUUUGAUCCAAUCUUUAUAAUAGAGGGGCCUACCAGGUAGUUUGCCAUUUCUUAAUUGUUCUAGAGUAACUAGAAUGCUUGAUUACAAAAUUGGUCUCAAACUACACCACUUGUUCCACUGAGGUGCCCAAAGUGUUUAUUAUUAUUAUUAUUAUUAUUAUUGUCAAGAGUAGGCAGAUAAAUUAUUCAAUUUGGUCUGUUUUUAUUGGUUGGUAUUGUAUUUUGAGGAUAAAAUGAGAGGGAAUUAUUUUUAAGAUGCUGAAAAUAAAAAUAGGUUUCUAAAGAAAAAUAUGGUAUAAUUUGAGGGUUAAAUUUAAAUUUAAAUUAAUAAAUACAUGAUAUUUUAUAUACAAAAUUAAAUGUAUCUGUAUUGUAGCCGAUAUUUGCAUCCAAAUAAUUAAUCUUUGGAUGAGAAACCAAUCAACUAGACCAACACUUUUUUAAAAUCUUCAUUCUAAAUCUAUGAGCAAUUGUUAGAUUUUAUUUAUUUAUUUUGUUUUUAGCUUUGGAUAAAACCGGAUCGUAUCUCCUAAAAAAUCCAAAUUAAUUAAAUUUAAUAUUUGUUUUUUAUAUUUAUAUAAUUAAUUAUUCAUUAAAAUAUUCUUAAAUAUAAAUCAAACCCACCCAAUUUUAUUACUUUUUUCAGUUUCUGGACGAUUAUGUCCAUUUUUAUUUUGUCUAUAUUUGCCUUAAAAGUUGACAAUUUUUUUUAGUUUAGUCUUUAUAUUUGUGAUGAUAUGGUAUUCUGUGAUUGUAUCAAGUCAUUAAUUCAAAAUUAAAAAUUUAUAUAAAAUUGAGAAAAGUUAAUGUGACACAACUCAAAGUGUCUAAGUUUAAGGAUUAAAUUGAAAAAAUGUUAAAAUUUGAGACUAAUGAAAAAAUUAAAUAUUAAAAUUGACUUAUUUAUCAAGUUGAAGGAUUAAUUUGAGACUAAUAAUUUUUUUAGUCUAAACAAAUAUUUCUUUUAAAUAAAUCAUUUUAUUUGAGUCCCACCACAUUCAUUAAUAAUAAUUAAAUAAUAUAAUAUAAUAUAAAACUUUUAGAUGUAGUCGUUAGGAAUCCGAAUCCCCAAUGCGAGACUAUUAUCUAAUAAUUUCAAGCAUAAAUUUUAGGGAUAAUAUAACUUUUAGUACUUGAACUUGGGAAUUAGGCUCACUUUAGUAUUUGUACUUUUUUUGUUUGUUUUUUUUUAUCUUUAAAUUUGGCAACUAGAUUCAUUUUGGUUGUUAGAAUCAUCCCGAUUAAGCAACAAACAAGUAAAAUAGCAAAAGAAAUUGAGAAGAUGAACACACAAUUUAACGUGGAAAAACCCUUCCAAAGAGGAUAAAAAAACACGGGCAAAGAUAAUUUUACUAUAAUGGCAAAAGAAUGAAUAGUACAUGUUAGAAUUGUGUGACCCAAAUUCUAAGAGAUUGCUUGCAAGUCAAGUUAAACAAAAAUAUAUUUUCUUUCUAGAAGAUUUAGUAUUUAUUAGUAUAAUAUAUUUAGCAUUUAUUAGUAUAGUUUAUUUGACUUACUAAUUUAGCUUAUAAAUAGGCUCUUUUACAAUCUUAGAAAUGAGACACACCCAUUAGAUUAGAACUCGUAACACAUUCAGAGAAUUUUGUGUUUACGUUUUCGGGUUCUUUGUUUUUCGGGUUUAGUUUUUAUCUCCAUCUUUUGUACUCUUCAUUCUUUUGCCAUUAUAGUAAAAUCUUUAAAGUCGACAACUAAAUUUUUGUUUUCAAAAAACGGUUUCGACAAAAAACAUAUAAAAUUAAAGGAUCGGUGGCGAUUUCGGUGUGAUCGGCUCAUAUUAAAAAUUAUUUUGGCCUACGAAUUUUGAGAAAACGAUUUCGGGAGUCAGUUACGUACGAGGAAGGGUUAGCACCCUCGUAACGCCCAAAAUUGGUACCAAAUUGAUUAUUUGAUGUCUUAGUGUCGAAGGUUAAAAAAAAUUUUAAAAUCAACUCAAACGGUGGAAUUUAAAAAAGAAUAAUCAAUUGUUCAAGUCAUGUAAAGAAAACGAGUCCCAAUACAUUACGGUACAAUUCCUCAUAAUCCCCGAACUUUGAAUAUCACUUUAUUUUAUGUGAAAAUCUUCAUUUUGAGAAAGUAACAUGCCACACCCAAUACGUUAGGACACAACAAGUUAAGUUCCCAAAAAUGAUUUUUGUACUCAUGCACUUUGAAUAAAGAAUAUCCUCGGUUAUUUAAGAUUAACAAAGAAAAUCAGAACCCAAUACGUUAGGGCUCAAUUUCCCUCGAAAAUUCUAAACUUCGAAUAUUGCUUUUAUUCAAAAAAAGAAAACCUUUGAAUCAAAAAAAUAACUUUGAUGUAUGGUUAAAGCCAAAAUAUAUUUUCAAAAAGGGUAUGUUAAGGUUAAUGUACAAUGUGAAACAAAACUUUAAUGUAAAACAUAUAUGAAUAUGUAUUUACAAUAUAUAUACAAGUACAAUAUACAAGCAAAUUCGAAAAUAUGAGUGGGCGCAUACUUAACACAUAAAUAUAAGUGUACAUAUAAAAAGGUAAGUGAAGAAAUAUAUACAACAAACUUAUAAUAAUUUCUAAAAAAUAUGCAUGUAUAUAUGUAAUGAAAAUUGUAAAAAUAAAAUAAAAAAACAUGUAGAUGUGUAUACAUUUUCAAAAAAUAAGAAAAAUGUAUUAAUAUAUAUAUAUAUAUAUAAAAUAUAAAGUAUAAUAAAGUAAAAAAAUAAAAAAUAAAAAAAUGAAAAUGUAUGUAUAUGCGUAUAUAUUUACAAAAAAAAGAACAAUAUAUAUAUAUAAAUAUAAUAUAUAAAUAAACUAUGAAAAAAUAUAUAUAUGUGUGUGAAAAUCUGUAUGUAUAUAAAGGUAUAUAUAAAAUGAAGUAUAAAAUGUAAGAAUAUAUAAACUAUAAAACAAUAUGUAUGUAUGUAAAAAAAGCUUAAAAAUUAUAUAUAUAUAUAUAUAUUAAAUAUGCAUAUAUAUAAAAUAUGCGAAUGUAAAUGCAUAGAAAAUAUAUAAUAAUAACGAUAGUGAAUAAUAUAAUAAUAAUAGACAAUGCCAAAUAAUAUAAAAGAACUAAAAAAAUUGAUUAAGGAUCAAACUAAAAAAGAAACAGAGUUUAAGGGCCAAAUUUAAAAUAAUGGAAAACUCCAGAAAGGGCCAAAUCGAUACGCGCGCCAUGAGAGGAGGAUUAAAAAGAAAUAUCCCCAUACUGGCCUAACGGCGUCGUUUUAACGAGCUCCAUGUGCCUGGUCUAUGGGUCGAAUUGAAACAUGAGCGACAUGUUGUGGCGAAAUUGAAAAUGCAUGAAAUACCGCAUUAAAAUCAAAAUAAAGGAGGAGGGGCCAAACACGAAAAUUCCCCAUUUAAGGUCAGAACGCGUUGACCCAGCUUGCGGGUCGGGUCGACGCGCGGGUCUGGACUUCCAAACGGCGCCGUUUUGUCUUUAAUAUUAAAACUAAAUUUUUUUCAAAAAAACAAUCUUAUUUCAUUUUUUCUUUUUUCUUAAAACAAACAGAGGGAGAAAGUGGAGUGCUCUGCUAGGGUUUCCUUAACCUAGCCCCCCCAAGCCGCCGCAGCUCCUCCUUCUCUGCCGUUUCAGACCCCAAGGCGGCGAAACGAAGGGAUCCUCCGACAACGCUCCAAAGGUAAGUUCCCCCCUUUUCCCUUCCUUCUCGUUUAUUUUUGUUUUAAAAAAUCAAGGAAGAACAAAAUAUAAAAAAAAACAGUACAAGAACAGAGAGAAGAAUUAAUCUGUGGUUUUGUUUAUUUGAGCUAUAAUUUGUUUGUUGUAGGGUUGAACGAUGAGGAAUUUUUGUGUUGUUUUAGCUAAUUUGAGUAAUUCCAAAUUGGGGAAUUUUUAAUAUUAGGUUUAAAGUUCAAUUUGUUGGAUUUGGUUUAUUUAUGGGGCAAUAAUUUAUUUGUUAGUUUGGGAUUUGAGGGUUAAUUGAUUUGGUUUUUCCAUCUACUUGGAUUUAUGUUAUUAUUUUUUAACUAAUUCAUUUAAAUAAAUUUAGGUUUAUCAGUUUCCAUUGAUUUCAUUAUCAUUAUUUAUAUAUUUAUUCGUUCAUUAAUUUAUGUAUUAAUAUACUUGUUUUCAGCUUUGCUUUAAGUUGUUUGGACGGAUGUCUUUUUCUCUUUUUAUCUUACUAGUUGUUUUCUGAAAUUAGGUCCAUUCUUUUAGCUUCAUUUCCCUCCUUUCAUAGGGAUAUAGCCUUAGAGGUGUCUACAAAAGUAGAGCUAAGUUUCUCUGAUUCUUGGUUUUGCUUUAAGUACCAGUUUUAGACUCAAUAUCCGAACAUGUGUACGGUGAUAUGAUUUUUCAAAGAUCCUUCUAAGUAACAUAGGCGAGAGCUAGGCUUUUAGAAAUCCAGUGUAGUGUUUCAACUUACUGUCCAGUUGUUAUUUGAAACACCAGUGAUGGCGGUUACUUUUUUCACAGAUGUGGAGAUGAAUGAAUGCUUGGAAAAUAAUGGUGGUUGUUGGCAAGAUAAAACAGUAAAUCUCACAGCCUGCAGGGUAUGAAUCAAAACAUAUUUGAUAGGGGUUCUCUACUCCAUUAGCUUAUUUGAAUAUAUUGAUUUGCUUCUUAGGAUACAUUUCGAGGAAGAGUUUGUGAAUGUCUCUUGGUUGAUGGCGUGCAAUUCAAAGGAGAUGGAUACAGUCACUGGGAAGGUGAGAAUCAAGAUUUUAUUUGCACGGAUUAAGUGUUCAUUUGUGAUUCAUGUCUUAUGAGAAAGAAGAUUGACAAUCAGAAUAUUUGGAAUGGUUAGGAAGAAUUUAGAUUGUUAGGAAGAAUUCUAAAAAAAGGACAAGACAUUAAAGCAUUUUCCAUGUAGUUUGGCAUGACAAAUCCAUUUCAUGUUACUUUUGAUUACUUAUAGAAAUGUUCUCUUAAUUUUGCAUUCAAUCAAAUUUUAGCAUUAUAGUUUGGCAUCUUAAUUUUACAUUCAAUAGGGCAGUUUGACAUGACAAUCAAAGUCUAUAUAAAACCUAUAUCAAGCAAUGCAAAGCAAUCGUCAACAAAUCAAAUCAAAUCAAAUAUAUACAUAAUGGGGGAGAAAUCAUGGGUGUUGAUGUUCUGUUUGCUGUUGUUGAUUCUUGUUAGGCCUUAACGUCAAGCUGUUACAGCACUCGCCCCGGUUGGAUUUGGGUAUGUGUUUUGUGGAACUACUUGCGUCGCCAACGGAACUUCCCUUGGGGAUUGUAAUCAACGUUGCUUGCCGUCAGAAGCACUAGUGGAGACUCUGGAGGAAACCCACCUCACGAGCAGUUCCGUAUUCUGCACUGUUGGGUUUGCUGCCAUGACAUGUUCGAGGCUAAGCAGCCAAGGGAGGAUGCCUGCUAAUUUUUUUUUCCUUUUAUAUUAAUAUUUGAUGGUAAGUACGUAAGUAUAUUAACUUCACGAUUUGUUUUGUUUUUGUUAGCUGCAAGGGAAGUUGCAGGCUGCGUCAAUACUUGUGUAGGGAGAUGCGCCAUGAAGAACUGAUGAUAAUCGCCUAUGCACGAAAUUAUAAUAAAAGGCCUUUAAUUACAUUUAGCCUGAAUGAAAAAAACAUAAUUUGGUUGCUGUUGUAUUUUCAGUUUUAUAUUUACUAAAGUAAUAUGAAAAAAAGAGAAAAAAAACAGUAAUAAUACAAUUAUUGCGGUGACCCAAGAAUCAUGUGAUGUUCCUUGUUUGUUGUUUUUGUUGGAUCCUUCAUGUUAUAUUAUUUAAUUGUUUUUCUUAUUUUUGGAGGAUUUUAUGUGCUAAAUGCUCCUAAGAAUUUCUUGAUUAUUUGUUGUUAUGAGUGCACAGCGAAUGGGCAUAUUGGAACAUGCGAAGCAUAUUGAAAUCUUGACCAGAACGAAACUUAAAUGACUUGGUACAGGUAGAAGACCGGAAGGUACAAAAUUUUGAUAUUUUAAACUUAUCUUUUAAUUUUUUAUCUUAAAUAUUUUAACAUUUUAUAAUUACGUUUAAAAUUAAAAUAAACUGAAGCUAUUGAACCAAUUAAUAGAUUUAGAACUUAUUUUUACAUAUAAAUAGAUGUAAUUGAGAUAUAUUUGUUUGUAUAAUACUCGAAGCCUUGGCGCUGUGCACUCAUAACAACAAGUAAUCAAGAAAUUCUUGGGUGCAUUUAGCAUAUAAAAUCCUUCAAAAAUAAGGAAAACAAUUAAAUAAUAUAACAUGAAGGAUCCAACAAAAACAACAAACAAGGAACAUCACAUGAUUCUUGGGUCACCGCAAUAAUUGUAUUAUUACUGUUUUUUUUUCAUACUACUUUAGUAAAUAUAAAAUUGAAAAUACAACAACAAUCAAAUUAUGGUUUUUUCAUUCAGGCUAAAUGUAAUUGAAGGCCUUUUAUUAUAAUUUCGUUCAUAGGCGAUUAUCAUCAGUUUUUCAUGGCGCAUCUCUCUGUACAAGUAUUGACGUAGCUUGCAAUUUUCCUUGUAGUUAACAAAAACAAAGCAAAUCGUUAAGUUAAUAUACAUACUUACUUACCAUCAAAUAUUAAUAUAAAAGGAAAAAAGAAAAAUUACCAGGCAUCCUCCCUUGGCUGCUUAGCCUCGAACAUGUCAUGGCAGCACACCCAACAGUGCAGAAUACGGAACUGCUCGUGAGGUGGGUUUCCUCCAGAGUCUCCACUAGUGCUUCUGACAGCAGGCAACGUUGAAUACAAUCCCCAAGAGAAGUUCUGUUGGCGAUGCAAGUAGUUACGCAAAACGCAUACCCAAAUCCAACCGGGGCGAGUGCUGUAACAACUUGACGUGAGGGACUAACAAGGAUUAACAACAGCAAACAGAACAUCAACACCCAUGAUUUCUCCCCCAUUAUGUAUAUAUUUGAUUUGAUUUGUUGACGAUUGCUUUGCAUUGUUUGAUGUAGGUUUUAUAUAGACUUUGAUUGUCAUGCCAAACUGCCCUAUUGAAUGUAAAAUUAAGAUGUCAAACUAUAAUGCUAAAAUUUGAUUGAAUACAAAAUUAAGAGAACAUUUCUAUAAGUAAUCAAAAGUAACAUGAAAUGGAUUUGUCAUGCCAAACUACAUGGAAAAUGUUUUAAUGUCUUGUCCUUUUUUUAGAAUUCUUCCUAACAAUCUAAAUUCUUCCUAACCAUUCCAAGUAUUCUGAUUGUCAAUCUUCUUUCUCAUAAGACAUGAGUCACAAAUGAAAACUUAAUCCGUGCAAAUAAAAUCUUGAUUCUCACCUUCAUAGUGACUGUAUCCAUCUCCUUUGAAUUGCACGCCAUCAACCAAGAGACAUUCACAAACUCUUCCUCGAAAUGUAUCCUAAGAAGCAAAUCAAUAUAUUCAAAUAAGCUCAUGGAGUAGAGAACCCCUAUCAAAUAUGUUUUGAUUCAUACCCUGCAGGCUGUGAGAUUUGCUGCUUUAUCUUGCCAACAACCACCAUUAUUUUCCAAGCAUUCAUUCGUCUCCACAUCUGUGAAAAAAGUAACCGCCAUCACUGGUGUUUCAAAUAACAACUGGACAGUAAGUUGAAACACUACACUGGAUUUCUAAAAGCCUAGCUCUCGCCUAUGUUACUUAGUGUGAGAAUUGGAUAAGGCCAUAUGUCUAACAUGGAUAUGUGCAAGUUGUUCUUAGUUUUUCCUGUAUUCAGAGUGUUUUUGGAGGGUCAUAUCCCCAUACUCGUAUAUGAAAACGUGUCAGACAUGGGUACUCAAGAGAGGUAAAGAGUCAGCACCCCUAAGUGGAACCAGACUAAAAUACUUCUCUUGCAAGAAAAAUAAAACAAGACAAACUCACCACCACUCAAACAAACAGCUGGUUCCGUAGUCUCCUUGAAGCCGUUACAUAUGGCCUUCAAAACAGCACCCUUGGCCAGCUUUCCUGCAUGCAGAUAUGUUAAACACGGAAAGCACCCAAAAUUUUAUCUGGGAAAUACAGGUAUAAAUACGAACCUCGAUAUUGGCGAUUGUUGACAACAAGUGCAGGCAAUAUGGUAACAUCUCCUCUAGAUCCUUUCCCCGCCUAUGAAAAUGUUUCUAUUAAAUAGCCUCAAAAAGGUCAAGAAGACAACGAAUUGGAAAAAGAGUAGUGAAACAUAAAAUAUCUAAGCCUGAGAGGACUACUUGAGCAUCUUGUUCUUCUUUCAGAACAGGAUUCUCCGUAUCAGCAUCUGGAUCUCCCAUACACUUUCCAAUCUUUUUAGCAUCAAGCCCUGAAUUGAUGACAAAGGAAUAUCAUCAAUUUAUUACUAGUUUCCAGCAAGAUUUUGAUUUUUGACUGUGCUAUUAAUAUUAACAGAAAUUUUAAGAUAAACCAAGGAUUCUUCCAAAUAAUAUUUACCAAGAGAUUUGAUAAUACCAUCUGCACAUUCCUUGUUAUAUUUUUUCUCCUUUAUGGGCCGUCUUAUUUGAAAAUCAGCCACAUAGUCCCACCACACCCAAGGCCUAUUGGUCUCAUUUGCCGCUUUGAAAACGCAAAGCUGCCUUAAGGUCUCAAUAACUACAUCUUUCCCUUCAUAACCUGAGCUAAAACCUUGUUCAGGAUCCGGUGCACAGUAUCUUCCGCGGUUGAUGCAUUGAGAUUUGCACUGUCGGCUUAGGGUGAAAGCUUGAGGGCAGUACCAAGUUAUAUAAUGGGGUGUGAACUGCGUAUAGCCAGCUUUUUCGAGAAUCUGAGCAGCACCCUUGAAAUCCUUCACAAAUGCCAUCAGCAUAUCACAUUUAACUCCGCAUUCAUCAUUGCUGUUGGUCCAUAACUCGUACUCGUCACGAUCAUCAGGGUUAGAGUUUCACCAAAAGUUUUCUCGAUAAGGGCAGAUGGAAAUGUUAUAUUUUCAAUGUAUUUGGCAGAUGAACUGUCCUCUUCAGGAUUGUCCAUGGUUAUUAAUGCUUCUUCAAUAUCAUCCGCAACAAGCACUGCAGAAGCAUCUGCUUGCCGUACAUUCCAAACCUUUAAAGCAAAGAGCAAUCUGGAAAAAUAAUAAGAAAAAAGGCGCUAAAUGCAUUCUCCGAAAAAUUACAUUUUUCCGCGUGUUUGGGAUGCGAAUCGCGAAAUCGACAUGGUCUGGCAUAUGGUCGUGUGCCAGCCCGUGUGGCUCACAGGGCCGUGUGUCCAACCCGUUGGGAAAGCUCAACUCGUGUGGCUUUUGAUAUAUGCUCUAUUUGUUCGAUUUUAGCUUUUUUUUUUGUUUCUUUUACUCUCAAAUGCUCUCCUAAAUAUAGAAACAUAAAUUUAAAGUAUUAGAAGCAUAAAAUUCACUAAUUUGCAUAAAUAAUCAUCCAAAAAUGCAUUAAGAACGAGAUUAAAAUAUGAUACUUUUAUCACUUAUCAAUGACUGAUAAAAAAGCUGAAGAGUCCUAACCAGACUCUAACUGUUGUUUUAUCAAACAUGCCACUCUUUAGUAGGCUAAAAAAAGGUCAAACACCUAUGGGACUAAAAAAGCCCACGGCCCAAGAAGAAAAUCCGUUCUCAUUCUAACAAAACAUAAAACAAGCAUGUCAAAAUCCCCAACAUUUAGUUACCUUGUCUUCGAUUUGAUUUUCAUGUUUUCAUCCUCUGUUCAAAGGGUUUGCGAAUGAAGAAGAAUCAACUUGAGUGAACAAAUUCACUCAUUGUUGCAUAAAAGUAUGAGCAAAAUGGUUAGAAUCAAAUUGGUUUGAGGGAGAAUUGGAUUUAACAACCUUUUGAGUAAGAUUUAUUCUACUUGGAAACCUUUAACUACAACCCAUCCCAUGGAUUUAGGAAAUGAGUACUAUACGGUCAAAUUCAAUUCACAAGCUUGUCAAUAUUGAGGUGUGAGAAGCUAUCUUUUGGACAAGCCUUUGACCUCGCCAAUCCCACAUCCCAUAGUUUUUGUAAAAUAUGCCAUUUAAUAAUUUACUUUUAAAAUUUUAACAUUGGCUCAACCAAUAAAUAUAUUUAAUUUUCAUUUUAAUAAAGUAGAUAACAUAUUUUAUUUUGGAAGAUUAAUAUUUUUAAAUUUACGAAAUGAUCUAUUAAUUCCUCUUUUAACUUUUCUAGACUGAAAUGAAGAGUACAAAUCGAUAAAAGUAUUAUGGAGACCUCUAUACUGGAGUCAAAUUCCAUUUGUCCCUCUAAUAAAAAAUUAGACAAAUUAGACCCACAAUUCAAGUUUCAUGUUUAUAGUUGCACCAAAUUAAAAUUCAUGUAUCAAAUUGCACAUUGAAAUAAAGUUUAAGUAUAAAUUUGAUAUUUAUCCCUUUCGGGAUUGAAUCCAAAACAAGAAAGUUAUUUUUUUAAUGUUUUUUUUAAUUUCAGAAUAUGUGUUAAUAAUCAAUCAAAUAUCUUUUUUCUUUAAAUUAAAUUUCUAUGUUGUCUUGUAUAUUCUAAUAAUACAAGUAUCGCGAUAUUAAUAUCACUUUGAAAGUCUAUAACUAUCACUCUUGAGAUAUACGGAAUAUUUAUUAUUUAAAAGAUUAAAGGAAAAAUUGUUACAAAAAAGUAUUCACCUUAAUCAAUAUUCAAAUUUUUUUAUACUGCACAUUCUUAAAAUAAGGAUACAAUAUCGAGUAAAACAAAGAAAACCAAGAAUAAUAGUGAAAAACACGGCUUUUAAAAAUGUGAAGAGAAAUUAUAUGUAUUUUAGUCGUGUAUGAUUAUUAAGUGUCGGACCAAUCAACGGGCCCUAAAUUCGGCACAAAUAUCUCAUUUAAAACUCUUUAAAUUUCAUUUCAUUUCUAUCCUUAUGUAUCAAUAAAAAUAUAUCUUACUUUUUUGCUUUAACCUUUUUAAAAAAUAAAAAAGAUGGCAAAGGUUUCUUUCGUUGCAUUCUCAUUGACUUUGGUGCUCUCAAGCCAAUUCAUAGUAGGAUAAAAUGAGAAGGCUUUUGAUGAGGCAGCAUCCCCAGAAGCGGUAGGGGUAUUUGGGGCUUUAGUUAUGGCCGGCAUUAUUUCGAAAUUGCAGGAUGAUGGAAUGCAAGGGGAGCAUUUGAAAAAAAUAAUAGCAGACCCUAACUUUGUGUCGAGGGUGGAUAAACUCAUUGAAAAGUUUAAAAGCUCUGUUGGAGAUAAUUCUGGGAGUGUGGAUGGGACAACCUUUGCCUUAGCUGAUGAGGUUGCAGCUUCCCCAGAAUCGGAAGAAGAAAUUGCUACUGAAGUUUCCAAUGGCUUGUUGAAAAUGGAAAAGGAGGGAUUAGUAGACCUCGGUGAUGUGACAUCAGACCCAAAGUUUAAGGAAGAGGUGGCUAAAGCCAUUCGAUAUUUUAGAAGCAAUGCAAAAGAUAAUGCUAACACAGAAAAUGAGAAGAAUUAGUGAGGGAAUGAUGCAGCAAAUUACCAUAAACAUGUAAACUAAUCGCAACGAGCAACCUUACGCAAUGUAAUUGAACAAAAAAAUUAUGCACUUUAAUUGAUAUAUAUUAUUUACUUAAUGACAAAUUUGUAACAGCAAUAAAAAAAUCUUAAUUUCUUAACCUAUAAAGAUCUGUAUGUAUCAAUCUUAUGAUAACAAUUUUCUCUUCUAGGGAUAUCGCUAAAGUGGAUUGUCCUUGUCACUUUCUUUAUUCAGAGUAGGGUGAGAUACUAAAAGGUUCGAUUAAGAGAGGAUGAACCGAAAAAUAAUCAUUUAAAGAGACUCUCUUCAAUGCAAUGAGAAUGUGGUAAAUGCGUACAAUAAUACAGAUGAGUAAGAUAUCAAACUCUUAGAUGGUGAUGUUUUGAUUGAAGUCGUUGAUCGAAUUCCUUCAAUCAAAUUCUCUGAGCAAAUUCUCUCAUUGUUGCUUAAAAGUAUGAGCAAAACGAUUAUAAUCAAAUUGCUUUGAAGGAGAUUGGAUUUAACACCUUUUUUUAGUAAGCUUUAUUCUACUUGAAAACCUUUAACUACAGUUAGACCAGCUCAUGGGUAAACAUUUGCAUUGAAAAAAUUGACUCGACUCUUUUGAAAAGUUAAUUACUAAAUUUAGUAAAAAAAAAGAGAGUCCAAUUGACCACAUAUAUAAAUAUUGAGGACUAAAUUUAUCAUUAUGCUAUUUAAAUAUGAUAUUAUGUUUUGAACUUAAAAAAGGAAAUAAAAAACCCUUUACAAACUUAAUCAAUAUCACUUUUUAAUUAGUUACAUGUUUCAAUGAUUAUAAUAGAAACAACUAUGGCAUCCGUGCGACCAAGCGUAAGUGAUUAACGACUCUUUCCUUAGAAAGGCGUUCAUAUUUGGGAUUCAUGACUGCCCUUUUUAAUAAUAUUGUUUCAAAAGUUCAAAUUCACAUUCUCUUAUUGGAAGUAUAAUCUGUAUUACCACUGCACCCAAUACUUAUUAUUUUCAUAUUAAAUGUAUGAUUGAAAAAAAAUAUGUAAACAUUAUAGUCAUUAGAAGUUAUAUAUUGAUAAUUUAUAGAUCUAUAAAUUUAAUUAUAUCAAAAAGAAUAUCAAGAUAAUUAUUCCAUUGACCUAUCAUACACUAUAUAUAUAUUUGUCUGGAAUAAAUAUUUAGGGGAUCUUUAUAUUUAAUUUAUUUUAAAAUAAAUAGAGUAAUUUAAUUGAAAAUAUAGCGACAUAUUUAUUUCGGUUGAUAAACGACUAAUUUAGUCCAUAUUAAAAUAAAUAAGGGAAUUUAUUUUAAGAUUAUAAGACGAAUUCUAAAAAAAGACAUUAAAGGAUUUGGCACAAUCAGUUAUCUAUAAAAAUAUUUAAAAGGAAAAAUAAAUUUGGAAAAUUCCAUUUAAAAAGUAAAUUUGAAUAUGCAUUUGAAAAUAAAAAAAAAUUUGAGUUCAAUAAUAUUGUAUUCCAGUGCUUUUGACAAUAAUUCCAUUAAUUUUUAAAAUGAAUCGAAAACUUUAAAUAUGAUUUUAAUGACAAUUAAUUAAAAAGCAUUUUCUAUGUGAUUUGGCAUGACAAGUCCAUUUCAUCUCAAUUUGAUUCCUUAUAGAAAUGUCCUCUUAAUUUUGCAUUCAAUCAAAUUUUAGUAGGGCAAUUUGACAUGACAAUCUCCUACAUAAAGUCUAUAUAUUUUAAAGGGAAUCGCUUUACUACAUGAGUCCCCAACCCCUCCUACACACAAGGCACAAUUUCAAACUUAGUUAUUCAAUCAUUUAAGUGUGUUCUCGUAUAUAUACACAUCCCACACUUGGUAUUUAACCAAUGUGGGAUCUAAAGUUUUUUUCCUCGACAAAUAUUUUCAAAUAGCUUAUUUUGAGUAUCAGUUAAUUCUCAUUCAUCACUCAACUAUCUUGAUCAUAUAAUAUACUGUUGUAAAGGUCUCAUGAAAUAGAAUAUAAAACCAUAAUUUAUGAUUCAACUCUCAACAUUUACCGAUUGAAAAUAUACCUCAAAGUUUUCAUAAAUUACAAAUUUUCCAACAUUAUCAUUAGAGAUGCGCAAGAUUCUACACUCAAAAGUAUCAUUGCAUGAAAACAUGCCUUCCCCUUUGGCUGCCGAAGCAGUGGCAUGUUUGCAGCUGUAGACUUAACGACGUGGAGGUUGAAAGCGAUGCUUUAACCAUGACUCGAAAACUGCAAAAAGAAGAAAUUGAAAGGUCUGAAAUAGCAUUGGAAAGUUGUGUUUUUAAGCAUGUGCCGAGACAGGCGAAUAGUGCUGCCCAUGUUCUAGCUACAGAGGGACUAAAAAGAGAAAAAGCUCCUUAUCUGAUAGGUGAUGUUCCCCUUUAUGAAAAACGAACGGUAGAAGAUGAUGAACGGUGGUUGGCCCUUUCAACUACGGCAGAUGGUAGAAGGUUGGAUCCAUUCUUCCAGCGAGUGGUUAGAUAACAAAACUAACAGACAUGAGUUUCAUCCUCCGCUAUUCUCUUUGAUACUAAGGGCUAGUUUGGAUGGGCGGUGUGUUUGCCUCCGGUGAGGUUAAAAACAGCGGUGGCGGUGAGAUUAGUUACUAUAGCAGUGAGAUUGGAUACUGUAGCGGUGAGAUUAGAAACAGUGGUGGAAUGUGUGUUUGGAUUCAAACGCAGCUGUAGUGGUGAGGUGAGAAUAAAAAUAACUAUUAAGGACAUCAGAUUAGAAUUGAUAUAUAAUAGAAAUUUUUUAAAUUAUUUAAAUUUUUAAAAUUAUUAAAAUAUGUGAAUUUAUAAAUUCAUUUAAUAAAAUAUUAAAAUGUAUCUUCCAAUAUUUUAAUGAAUUAUAUAAUUAAUUUAAAUUAUUUAUUAGAUAAAAUGAUAAUUAUUUUUAAUUUUUUAUAGUUAAAUAUUUUUUAUAACAAUGUUAAAUAUUAUUUUUACAAAUAGUAACAUUAUACUUGGAUCAAAUUUUAAAGUAUCUAAACGGAUAAAUUUUAAUAAAAAAAAUAGUAACAUAAGACAUAACAAGUUUCAUUAUUACUAGAAAUUAGGUUNNNNNNNNNNNNNNNNNNNNNNNNNNNNNNNNNNNNNNNNNNNNNNNNNNNNNNNNNNNNNNNNNNNNNNNNNNNNNNNNNNNNNNNNNNNNNNNNNNNNCACUUUCUCUAUUAGAAGAACUCGAUUCACCUCUAUCAAACUGGCUUGAAGAGACUGGCAUGUCGGGUAUAUUCUCAAAUUCUCGAAAAUCCUCAUCAUUUGGCGAAGCAUGUCUUCGAAUGUAAUUAUGCAAAACCAUUGUUGCAAUAACUAUUAAAACUUGCUUAUUGAAUGAAUAACUUGGAAUAUCUCUUAAUAUUGGCCAUUUUUUUCCACACUCCAAAUGUUCAUUCAAUCACAGAGCGUAGCGAAGAAUGGACAUGAUUAAAGGUUUCUUUUUUUCCAGAUACUUGAUGAUUACCUCGACGAAAAUCAGGUAAAUGAUAUCGUUCCCCCUAUAUGGACCUAGAAAACCUGCCAUUUAUGGAUAUCCUGAAUCCACAAGAUAGUAUUUUCCUACAAAAAAGUAAAACAUAAUAUCAAGUUUAAAAAUAAAUUAAAAAUUUUAAUUUUUUUAUGUAAAAAGUAAUUAAAAAUUUAAAGUUCAACCUGGUGGAGGGUGUGGAAACUUCAACUCUUGUUUUCUAAGUGCUUGCAAAAAAAUCUACUAUCAUGUGUUGUUCCUUCCCAACCAGGAAAUGCAAAAAUAAAGCACGUGUUGAAGUCACAAACUGCCAUAAUAUUUUGAGUUGGUGCACCUUUCCGUCCGAUAUAAGGUAUUUGACAAGAAGCGAAAUGCAUGCUUUUAUGUGUGUUCCAUCUAUGGCCCCAAUACAAUCCUUUAAAAUAAAUACAAGUAAUGAGAUACAAGUUAGAAAUAAUUUAUAUUUUAAAAAUAUAAAGAGUGUGUAAAUUUUACCUUAAAGUGUGGCCAAUAUCUUGUAUCAUGUCGAAUAUGGUUCGGUACUUCCUCGAAUUGACCUUCAGUGGGUUUAAUCGUGUCUAUUCCCAUUCGAGCGAAUAUAUGCAACAUAUUAGUAAAAAUUCGACUAACAAUUUCCCCAGAUCGUUGAAACCGCUCUGUUGCAUUUGAAUUUGAUUCUCUAUUUCCAAGAAUGUACAAUGAUAAUGCUAACUUCUCCAUCGCCGAUACUUUCCCAUUGUUUAAGCCAUAAUUUGUUUACAAAUCAUGCAACAAGCUGUGAAAUAUAUCCUUUGGCAUCCUAAAACUAUUCAUGCAACGAUCAUCGUGCCCUUUUAAUACUUCGUCCACCUACAUUUGACCUGUAUAAUUUGAAUCCAUACGCGGUUGCAUAGUGAAAUAAGUUUCAUGGUGUACCAAUACACUGCUUAACACAUAUUCUUCCUCUUCAUGAUAACUAUUGUUCUCAACUUGGGUAACAAUUGUGGCUAUUCUUCGUUGAGCUUCUUCACUUAAUUCAGGGGUAUCAUAAUUCAUAUCAAAACUAUUAUACAUAUUGUUAAAUUCAUCCAUAACCUGAAAAAGUAAUCAAAUGAAAAUAAAUCCUUUAAAAUCUCGUGACAUUCUAUACAACACAGAAACUUGAUUAAAAUCGUAGCAUAAAAAUACCAAACAUAAAAAGUAGCAUACAUUAGUUUUACAUAUAAAAAAGUAGUAUAGUUAUAUUACAAUAAUAAUUCUAAGGAGCUUAUGGUGGAGGUGGUUGAUGGUAUGGUUGGAAGGGAAAUGAGGAUGUUGCUACCAAUGAUGAAAAUGUUGCAAUUGGAUUUUGUUCAGCAUACUCACUCCGAAGCCACCAAACCCUAUCAUCUGGAUCUAAGUUCAAAAACACUUCUCGUUUCACCGGUAUUUGGAACAUUUUGGUGGCAAAAUAAUACAGUUCAUCUUUUUUUGAAAUUUCAUCUCCCAAAGCACGCAAAGCAUCCGUUGCAUUUGAAAUAGUAUAUUUUGGUGGCAAAAUAGUACAAUUCAUCUUUUUGUUUGGUAUCCUCAUUAGAUGCUCCAACUGCUGAAAAUUCGGGGUGAGAAUGGUGUUUAUGCUUUCAGUGACUUCAUGUGUGUCUUGUAUGGGUUUGAUUGUGUCUGAUUCAAGUCUUAUUUGUUCUAUUGAAUGCUUUAUAAUGACAUUCAUGUGUGUCUUAUAUGGUUCUCUUAUAUUAUGAUAUUGCAUGUGGUGAUGUGGUUCCAGUGCAGUUAAAGCACACUAGUUCUUAAUAGAGGAAAGCUGGGAUACUUUUAAACAGAUUUUUGAUACCAACAUGCUUGAAGCAUCGAAGGUAUUGGCAUAAGUAUUCAUUUAUUCUCUUGACAUUGGAUAUCAAAAGAUUAUUGGGCACAUUUGUGAGAGAAGGAAUAUGCAUUUCCUCUAAUAUUAACUUGCAGUUACUCUUGUUGCACUACCCUAUCUCCUAUUCUUGUGGUAUUUAUGCUGGUUAUGAAUAUAACUUCAGUGAUUUUAGUCUAAAAUUUGCAUGUUCAUCAGUUUUUUGGGAGUUAAUCAGGCUCAUGAAACUUUGGGCCAAUGGUGUGUUGUGUUCAUGUCAUUCGGGGUGAAAGAGACGGAUUUGGGGGAAGAUGUUGAUGCUGUUGAUGGUGGUUUGUAGUAUGUAAGAAGAGCGAUAACUAGUUUUCUUUCAAUUGUGGUAUGUUUUAUCCUUAAAUAAGUCACUGUGCCUGGCAUUUAAGUUUCCUGCUUUACAUCAUUGAGGAUCGAGGCAUAUGGGGGCAGUUCACUCCUCAAAACGAUUUAUAAGGCUCUAGAUUAGGUGAGUGUAAGUUCGAAAUGACUAAAUGCAAGUCUCAGCAGCUGGUAAUUUUAAAUACCCGGUUAUGCAGGUUGUGAAACUCUCGGAGUGCGAAAUUUAUAGUUAUAAUCCAGACUCUAAUGCAGAUCCCUUUCUAGAGAAAUGAUCAAUGUAAGUGUGUAUUAUAUUAAUACUUUAGUGAGUAGUCAGUGGGCCAUAAUUGUUCAGUAACUGUUGUGGAGUUAUAUUUUCAGAUGGUCAUUCAGUUUCUUCUUCUACAAUAGGAAACUAAAGCGUGUAGUGAGUUUAAGCUUUUGCUGCUUAAGGUGGGUCUAAUUGUGUUCUGUGAUAUUUAUAGUUAUGUACAAGCUUCCAUGAUUAUCUUUAUGCCUCAUUACCAUAUAUUGUCUCUUACAGUAACUUAGUGGUUGAUGGUUUUGCUGUUGACUACUUGUCUUACGAGGAAAAUGGUGAAAUAUUUGAUAACAUGGAUAUAUGAUCACUUACAUACUGCUUGUACAAUGUGUCAAUACCUUUUGACAUCAGUCUGCACUUAGUUAUGUUCUGUAGCAUAUUUUCUACUUUGCUGUGUAUAUGUUGUUUAUUUUACCUAGACUCAGAUUUGUUCUACCUGGAUAUGUUGUCUUUUAAGUGUUUUCUUACCCAGAUCCAUUCUUUCUAAUAAAAUCUCAAUUUCUGUUUCCUGUUUUAUUUAAAUGGGUUCAGUCUUUAUGUUAUCCAUUUCUCCUACUUUUUGAAUUGAUACUUCUUUCAGGAAAAGGAAGAAAAAAAUCCUUGCUUCCUGUUUGUUAUAUAUAAAAUCUCAAUUUUGGAAGUAGUUGUGAAAUUUGUUUGUUAAAGGCCGUAGAUAAUAUUCUACCUGCCUGUGGGGAAAGAUGACAAAUAUUCUCCACAAAUUACAAACAGUUAUCUUUCCAUAGGAUUUAAGCAGUUUGGUUGGAAAGAAAAAAAUAAAUUCGCCUUUGAAAUUAUCUAAUAGUGCUACCGGGUGGAUACUUGUACACUAAUCUCUGACAAGUAUUUAGGAGUAUUGGAAUUUGAAAAUUGCAGAGACUAGUUCAGCAUCAGCCAACACAGUACCCAACAUUGGAAGAACUAAGCAUAAGAAUGAUCAAAUUCAAGGCCUUUGAUUUGGGUUGUCAUCAGAUUGCUUGUAGGGUUUGGAAGGACUAUUAUGCCAAGGUAUUUGCAUUUAUGUAUGUGUGUAUAUAUAUUUUUUCAAUAAGAAACCAACUAAAAAAUUCAAGUAUUAAUCAAUUGUUAUCACCAGUUUAAUAAGAAACAUGUUAAUGGAUGGUUGGACGGUGAAAAGACUCAAAAGACAGCAAAAUUUUGCCCAUAUACAUAUUUGCUUGGUUGUAUGCCCAUAUUUGUGCUGUAAUUUUGUGAUGAGAGAAUUUUGUUAUAUUUUACAGAGCAUAGGUCAUCUUUUAAUAGGUAUGGAUGAAUUUGGUAACCUACCUAUGUGAUUGAAAUCGUUUUGGGAUAGUUUUAACAUUUUUUUAUAUUUUGAUAUAUUUUAGAAAUUAUUAAUAAUCAUUAAUAAUUUUAUUUUUAAUAACUUUCAUAUCUUUUUUUGAUUAAAUUUUAUUUUUUUAAUGAUAAUAUUCCAAAAUGAAUUUGUACAUAUAGUUGUUUAGUCAUUUGUUCAAGUUAAUUAUGAAUGUGCAAAUUUUAUUUUUUUAAUGAUAAUAUCUUCUUGCACCUAGUAGGUUGGAUUGAUGCUAAGAGGAAUGGGAUAAAAUUCCUUUUAUUAGGUGAUGCAGGCCAUGACUGUUUGAUUUCUUUCUUCCCCAAAGUACCAAAAAUUCCCUUCGAUAAAAGAAGGAAUUAUAAGAUCAUAUAUGCUUGUGAUAUAUGGUAUAUGGUAUAUGGUACUAACCCCCUCACGAUGAACUUGCGUUAGGCAUGAAGUCAUAUAGCAAACCUGCUAAACUUGUUCAUAUUACUACAAGCUUUUGUUGUUUCGUUUGUUUAGUUGUGCUUUGUUUUGUUUUUGAUAGUUUUAGUUUUUGAGGGUUUGAGACAUGAAUACAGCAUUGCUGGAGACAUGAAUAUGGAUGGUAUUAUUACUGAUUUGUUUUUUUAUUUUAUCAGGUCUCUUUCAUUAGAUAAUAAUGUUUUAAAUUAUGUUGAUUUAUAUAGGUUAGAAGGGAGAAAAUCAGUGAAAGAAUGAAGUAUCUGCAAGAUUUAGUACCAGGAUGUAACAAAAUCACAGACAAAGCUGGUAUGCUGAAUGAAAUCAUCAAUUAUGUUCAAUCUCUUCAACGGCAAGUAGAGGUAAAACAAUAAUGGAGAAAGAACAUAUGGAUUUGUGUUUAAAGGAAAAACAGAAACUACUUUCAUACAAUUCAAACACAUAUAUAGAGUAGAAAAAGAAGGGUUUUCACUUACCAGAUCAAAGUUGAGAACAAGAUUGAUAGGAUGAGUAGAAAAAUAUAGAUUCUUUGAGAGUCUGCUCUGCUGUUACGGUGGAGUUUUGUUACUGUCAAUUGAAGAGCAGGGUUUUUUGCAUUUUGGGAAUGAAAUUAACUUAAUUUUUAAGGAUAAAAUGGUAAAAUAAUAAAUAAAAGUAAGACUAUUUUUGUCUGUUAUAAUGUCAACUGCUCAGUUUAGCCUCCACUGCUGCUAUUUUCUCCAGCUGAAAAUCAGCUGAUCAGUGUGGUUGAAAAGAAACCUCACUGCACUGACACCCUCAACCAAACAACACAACAGUGAGUUUGGCACCAUCUUUUCCUUCAAAACGUGUCUCACUACCUCACUGCCUCAAUCCAAAGGAGCCCUAAGAAAACAACUUCAUCAAGUAAAGAUAUAUGCACGAUGGACUUGUACCCCUCAAAUGGAAAAAUUACCUUUUAGUCCCCUAAUAAAUUGUAGAAUUAAAAGUUACUGUAUGAUAAACUUGUAACAUAAAUAUUCGCUUACUCCAAUGACAUUAACUAGGGAUGUUUUCCCAGGCCUAUUAAAGAUAACUCCAUUUCUUGCUUGAAAAAGAGACUACAAGAAUGAGAUCUAGUAUGCAGGAAACUUAAUCCAAAUACAAGGGAUUAACAUGCAAAAAAAAAAAAAAAAACAUUCAGACCUCUUUCUUACUUAUAACAUAAUCCCAAAAUCUUACUAGCAACGAGACGUAACUAGACCUGUUCAUAAGUUGGUGGUACAAAAAUAUUAGAUAUGUUUAAAAUAUGGGUUGGGUUUAGAUUUUAACAUUCAAAGGUCAAGCUUGGCCCAGUCUAUCUUUAAGUUUGUAGUAUUUUAUAUUAUUUUAUUUUUAUAUAUUAUUAAAUAAAUAAAUCUAUACUAAAUAUAUAAUACUACUCUAAUUGUAAAUAUUAAAAUAAUAUUAAGAUGACUAUAUAAAAAAUCAAUAAAUAAAAAUAAAUAAAUUUAUUAAAUAUUAAAUUAUAAUUUUUUUAAAAAAUAAUACAUAGUUUAAAAUGAGUUUAGAUUAGACUUUUGCAAAUACUGACGAAUUAAACUGACAUUAUAAAAUACAAUAAUAUUAUGUUUAAAAUAAACCCGACCCAAUCUAUAAUCUAAUUUCGAUCAAUAAUUAUAAUUUCUAGACUGUAAUAUUACUUUUAUUCACUUAUAACAUAAAAAAAUAUUAAAUGAUUAUUUAAUGUAAUUAAAAUUUUAAAACUAGCCGUAUCUAGUUAUAUAUAUAUAUAUAUAUAUAUAUGUGGCAACUCUAUACAAGUUGAAAUUUAUCUUUUGAAAUCUAACCCUAUUCUUUAUUGUCUUUUCUUUUUCCAGAAUCUUUUCAACUUUCGUUCCUGUCUUUCCCGCAGGCUUUGCACAAUGGCAGUUGAAAAAGUAGAUUUUUCUUUGAAAGAAACCAGCCCAAACAUCGGCAGUGACAGAGUUUUCGGCGGCGAAAAACUUACAUCUUCAUUUGAUCUUGUUGAGAAGAUGGAGUUUUUAUUUGUAAGAAUAGUUAGAGCUAGAGAUUUGCCAUUGAAAGCUGUCAAUGGAAUCAUUGAUCCUUACGUUGAAAUAAAAAUCGGAAACUAUAACGCGACAACCAAGUACUUCGAGAAGAAACCGGAUUUUGAAUGGAACCAAGUGUUCGCCUUCGGACAAGAUCGGUUGCAGGCUACAACUAUGGAGAUCACCAUGAGAGACAAGGAACUAAUAAUUGGUGACAAUAUGAUUGGCAAAAUCGCCGUUGCUUUGCAUGAGGUUCCACUUUGUCUUCCCCCUGAUAGUCCCCUCGCUUCACAAUGGUAUAAAUUGGAAGAUAAAAAUGGUUUCACUUUAAGAAAAGGUGAAUUGAUGUUGGCUAUGUGGUAUAGCACACAAGCCGAUCGCGUGUUUACCGACGCUUGGCACUCGGAUUCGGCAAUUGUGAGCGGUGAAAGCCUUUUGAAUACUCGUUCAAAGGCAUAUCUUUUGCCGAGACUUUGGUACCUUCGAGUUAACGUAAUUCAAGCACGAGAUUUAGUCCCAGGAAGCAAGGAUCGAAAUCCCCAAGUUUAUGUUAAGGCUGUAGUUGGGGAUGUGAUAUUGAGGACCAGAGUUUCCCCUGAUAAGAAUGUGAAUCCUCAAUGGAAUGAGGAUUUGAUGUUCGUUGUUGCUAAGCCAUUUUUCGAUUCUUUAAUAGUAACGGUCGAGGAUAGGCUCGAAAAUAAUACGAUCCGAUGUUUAGGGAAGUGCGUGAUUCGUUUAUCGAAUGUUGAACAGAGGCUACUACCUUUACCAGCUGAUCCGUUGUGGUACACUCUUGAGGACAUUGUAUUUGAAGAUGGAAUGGAGAAAGAGGUGAAUUUCUUUAGUAAGCUUAACAUGUGUGUAAGUCUUGAUGGCGAAUAUCAUGUGUUCGAUGAAUCUGUUCACAACGGAAGCGAUUACCGGCCUACUGCAAAAAUGUUGUGGACGGCUAUGAUCGGAGUUUUGGAGUUGGGGAUCAUAAACGCUUCCGGUUUGCAGCCAAUAAAGUUAAGAGAUGGCCGUGAAACGACCGAUGCUUAUUGCUUGGCGAAAUACGGGCCUAAGUGGGUCAAGACUCGGACAGUUGUUGACAGUUUCGAUCCAAAAUGGAAUGAACAGUAUAGUUGGGAUGUUUAUGACUCGUAUACCAUGCUUACCAUAGGAGUUUUCGAUGACUGUCACUUGCAUGGUGGCGAUGCAGUUGGAGAUAGAAAAGAUCCAAGUCUCGAGAAGGUACGAAAUCAACUUUCAUCUCUUGCAACGAACAAGAUUUACACAUAUUCUUAUCCCCUUUUGGUGUUACAACCCAAUGGAGCAAAGAAAAUGGGAGAACUUCAGCGAGCAAUAAGAUUUACUUGCUCAUCUUACUUGAGCUUAUUUUUGGUUUACACCAUGAAUCCUUUGUUGCCUCAAAUGCAUCAUAUUUACCCUCUUUCGAUAUACCAACUCAAUAUUUUAAGGAAACAAGCCGUUCGUAUUCUUUGUUCGAGUCUAAGCCGAAACGAACCGCCAUUAAGGCAAGAGGUUGUGGAGUACAUGUUGGAUGGAGGUUCCCAAAUGUGGAGCCUAAGGAAAGCCAAAGCCAAUUUUUAGAGAAUUUUGGCUACUUUUAAGUGCUUUUCCAAUGCUCGGCAAUGGUUCGAUGAAAUCCGCAAGUGGAAUAAUUCGGCAGUAACUGUUUUAGUCAUGGCGAUCUACUGCAUUAUAGUUUUUAAACCAGAUUUGAUAUUACCAACAGUGACUCUUUAUAGUAUUCAAGUUAGUAUUCAAGUUAUGAUCCCCCAAUGGAGAAAGCGACCGAGGCGUCCAACUCAUAUCGAUGUGAACCUAUCUGUUGCCAGAUCUGUAACAGCCGACGAAUUGGACGAAGAGUUUGAUACUUUCCCAUCUUCAAGACAAUUCGAUGUUCUUCGGAUGAGAUAUGAUAGACUGAGAAGUAUUGCGGGGAGAGCUGUGACAGUGGUCAGUGAUAUUGCAACACAGGUUGAAAGGUUUCACUCACUGCUAAACUGGCGUGACCCAAGAAUUACAGUGUUGUUCCUUGUUUGUUGUCUUGUUGGAUCCUUCAUGUUAUAUUAUUUAAUUAGUCUUAAGGUUUUUCUUAUUUUUGGAGGAUUUUAUGUAAUGAGGCCUCCUUUUUUAGGAAAAGAUGUGCUAAAUGCACCCCAGGAUUUCUUCAGUAGGCUACCUAGUAAAGCAGAUUACAUGUUAUGAGUACACAACGCCAAGACUUCUUGUAGGUUAUUUGAGCCAAAAUUCAAUUCAGUAAUUAUAAAUUCAAGUUUGAACAACUCGAUUUAUUAAUCAAAUCAAAUUUGAGUAUUAUAAUACCCGUUUCGAAUGGUUUAAUAGUCUAAUCAAAUUUUCCUUUUUUUAGUAUUUUUAUAUUAUUAAUUUACAAUUUCAUUAUUGUAUAUACAAUAUUAACCUUAAUUUUCCCUUCUUUUUUCAACCGAAACCUAUGUUCACGGGAAGAGAGCUUAUGUUGGUUUAAACAGAUAAACCCAACUAAUUUGGUUUGAUUUGUCUCAAUUUGAGUGAUUUGAACAGUUCUCUCGUUAUAAGAUCCAUCUUACCCGUUAGUUUUAUUAGUUAUCAAUUUUUUAAUUUUUAAACCUGGUUAAAAAAAUCAAUUUAAUUUCAUAUUUUUCAAAUUUUCUAAACUAUAUUUAUAUUUUAUAAUAUAUAGUAAAUAUAUAUCAUUGAAGCUCGAGUUUGGAGAACUUAGAGACGAUUAUGGGCCGGAUCGGGACUCGAUAGAAUUUUAGGACCAGGACUGGUUCGGCCCAAAAAGUGGACUUAAAAUUUUGUCCAAGUUCGGUUCAGAUAAAAAUAUUAAAACCUAUGUCCAGCUUGCUCGUAUAAAAAAAAUUAUAUUAUUGUUUUUACAUAAAAACAAAUUUAAAAAUAUAAUAUAUCAAAUACACUAAAAAUAUUAAAAUAAAUAUUUCUCAACAAAUUGAAAAUACUUCUAAAAUAGUAGCAAAAUGAACAAUAAAAUAAAAGAUACAAUAUCAAAACAAUAACAACAAAAUAGUAACAAUAUAAUAGCGAAACUGCACCAAAAAAGUGACAAAACAACAUCAAAAAGCAGCAGGUUUUUUUUUUCAGAUUCGGGUCGACCUCGGGCCAAAAAAGCUUACCCAAGGCCUGGCCUGUUUAGAAAACGGGCAUCCCUUUUUUUGCCCAAACCUAUUUUUCGGGCCUAUAUUUUUACCUAAAUCAUCUCACUUUUCGAGGUGACAUUAGCUCGACCCAUGAUCAAGUCUAGUCGAACUCGAGCCCUAGAUCCCUUCUAUCCCAAAAAAAAAUGCAUAUUUUAUUUUCAGUUGGCUCCUGGACUUUUACCUAAUGGGUAAUGUAGUACAAAUUAAAUGUCCAAUUUGAUACACCACGUUGUCGUGUAUCCAUACGGUCCAAAAUUUUUAACACUAUUUAAUUCACACGCUCACUUUACAGCAACAAAUAAAUAGAUACAAUGUAAUUUCUUAUGAUUGGUUUUGCAAUUUACCUAUAAUUUUUACUGGCUAGUUACAUUUUUACCAAAUGAUUAAAAUAUUUUAUUUUAUUUUUCUUAUUUCGAUUUUCAAAGGAACAACAAAAUUUUGAAAUAACUUAAAAUUUAAUUAAGUGGUAAAAAUAUAAUCAACAAAUAAAAAGUUAUAUACAAAAUUCAAAAUCAAAUACAAUGACAUGUUAUUCAUUUAUUCAUUAUUGGACACAAUCUAAGGUUGUCAGUAUUGUAUUAGUGAGCAUGCCCUUUUUGUUAUAAUAUUAGUAUGUAUCAAUAUUAGUAUAUUUUAAUGUAUUGUUUUGAAUUUAUUAAUAUUUUAAAAUACUUUUCAUGUAUAUGUAAUCUAAUUUUGAUUUCUCAGUAAGUUAUAUGUUAUAUAUACAAACAAAUAAAUCUCAAUUACAUCUAUUUAAAUAUAUUUAUAUGUAAAAAUAAGUUCUAAAUUUAUUAAUUGGUCCAAUAGCUUCACUUUAUUUUACUUUUGAAUAUAAUUACAAAAAAUUAAAAUGUUUAAAAUAAAAAAAAUUAAAAGAUAAAUUUAAAUAUUAAAAUUUUGUAGCAACUGAUACGGGCUAGUAUUGGCUUGAAUGGCCCAAAACACAUUGGAACAUGCUAAGCAUACUGAAAUCUUGACCGGAACGAAACCUAAACGACUUGGUACAAGUAGAAGACUGGAACUGUAUGGUACCCAUUACUAAAUUGGAUUUUUCUACAGGUACUAAAUUACACAUUAGUUGAAAUUUUAGGGGCUAACAAAGACAUUAACCCAUUUAGUUUGCUUCAAAUGACUUUAAUUACCGGAUUACCCCAUUAGUGAAAAGGAGCAAGAAAAAAAAGCUUCUUAAUGAAUGCUGAGCCCUUGCUAUUUUCUUUUCGUCACUUCCGCUCUUCUCUGUUAAACGUUUCGCCGUCGUUGCCUGCCAUCGAUUUGCUAAGGUACAACGGAAACGACUUUCUUUUAUUCUCAUAUAUAAUAAUUUUAUAUUACUUUUUAUAUUUGUUUUCUCGUUUCAUUUCAAGUUUUAGAGUGUUUUAUUCAUCAUUUUUUUUGAGAAUUAGUUUAACAAUAAACACAAAGAAAACAACCCUUUUUGUCCCAUGAUUGAGAUUGUUUAUUAGCUCCUCUUCACCAAUUUAAAGUCCCAUUUUUCUUUGGCUUUUUAUUGGGUGUUUUCAUGAUUUUUCCCUUUAUUUGUAUGGUGGGUUAUUUCUCGUUUCUAAUUUGUUUAUUGUUUUCAUUAUCAUUGCAUGAGUUUAUGUUUCUGAGCAUUGAAAAUUUUCCGAUUAUGCUGAUUUAUUGAUGAAUUAGAAUUGUUAUGUAGAAAGUUCUGCUAAAAUUUAUAAAAUAUUGAUGCUGUUUGUACAACUAAAACACAUAUUUAAUGGAAAAAGCAGCAUGGAAACCCUUUUGCCCCUGUACAUUAAAUCAAAGAGCAAACUAGGCCUUUCAGUCAAAAUUUUUCAUCUAAAGUGGUUGACAGAAUAACUAGACAAUUAUAUUUGACACGUUACAUGCACCUUAUUUUGAUGUAUAGAAACUAUCUUUUAAUAGUGGAAAUGAAUGAAAAUUUUAACACAAGGGCCAAAUUGCUCUUUGAUUUAAAGUGCAAGGACUAAUUUGCUCAUUUUUUGAGUAGAAGAGGCAAAAAGCAAUCCGACUUCUAGUACUAGGGCUUCCAUGGUACUAUUACCUUGAAAACAACAUUUUAAAAUGAAUGAAAUAUAAUUUCUGAUAAUGGAUGGGUAUAAAUGUGUUUUUUCCCUUUUUCGAUCAAAAGACGAUGGGAUUACCAAAUGCGAGCGUGACUUGUCAACUGAAGUUGAGGUAGAGGCUUUCAGACGCCUCUUUCCCCUUCGUUUCUACGAGAAACAUCUUUUAGAGUCUAUACAUCCUGAUGCUCGUCCGCUCGGAAGAGUAAGAGAAACCACCAUUGCCCUUGGUUAGUAAAAGAAAAAUGAUAUAACUAUGAAACUAUUAUGUGACAUAAUAUUUCUUCAUACUUGGAUCUGAUUCCUUUAAUAUCCAGGGGCUAUUGCAUCUGCUAAUGGUUCAGCACUUGCAAAAAUUGGUUCAACUGUAAGUUUGUCACUUUCUCUUAAUACAUAUACUGCUUUGCUUUGGCAAGCAAUUAAGCUUGGAGUUUAAUAAUUAAUUCCUUGCAUGGCAUAGACUAUGUUAGCUGCUAUCAAAAUGGAGGUCAUGACCCCUUCAUUGGAAACACCGAAUGAAGGUUGUUUAGGUUUGCUGCCGUUAGCUGCACGCUUUCCUGUUUCUCUUUCUCUUCCUAAAACAUAUAUGUUAUCUCUCGUAUUUUGUCAUAAUUUCUUUUUCAUUUUCAACGAUUGAUUUCCACAUGCCUCCAAUUUGUUCUCCAAUUGUUAGGCCUGGCAGACCAGCUGAGGCAGCACCAGUCGUGGCAAAGCAAUUGUCAGACACUAUUUUAAGGCAUGCCAAUUUAGUUCCUUGAUUCUUUAUUGAUGCUGAGAUGCACCCCAUUAAGCCUGUUAAUUUACUUGUAGUUGUGACGUGUGAUGUUUAUCUGUGCUGUAAUUCUUUAUGCAAAGUCUGCAAUUUGUUAUCUCAUCUUUGUGUGGAUUCAAUCGUUAUCUUCCUCUUCGCCUCUGUAUUUACUUAUGAUUAUUGAUGUGGUUAACUGGGUAUUUUAGCCUUGAUAUUGAAACUUUGAGUUCUCCCUCUUGCUUCUUACUGCUUGCUGAAGCACACUGCUCUGUUAUUUUAUCUAAAUUUGUUGGUGGUUUCGUUUUUUUUUGAAUCUCUUUACACUUAUAAAUGUUCAGUUUCAAAACUGUUCCACUUUGAAUCUUUUUCUUUCUGUUAGGUUCUCAAACAACUUGUCAUGUUUAAUUACAGCUAUGGCAUGAUCAAUUUGAAGGAACUGUCCUUGGUUAGUGGAAAAGCUGCUUGGAUGGCAUAUUUGGUACGUGAUUGUGGAUUUAAAAUGUCUUAAUUAUCCGUCUUAGGACUUUCAAGUUGUGUAAGAGUUAGAACAUAAGCCAUCUAGCGUUCAUGCAAGUUGAUAUGGAAAUUCAAGUAAUACCAUAGUGCCUUUGUUCUCCUUGAAUAUGGAAGUAACAUAGUAUUCUGUUUUUUCAGGACAUAUACUGUUAUGAUGCUGAUGGUGCUCUUUUUGACACUGCAUUACUCUCAGCUGUUGUUGCCUUUUCUCAUUGUAACUGUUUCUCUCAUUUUCAUCAAAUAUUAUAACAUCAAUUCACCAUGCCACUAAAUAUGAUAAUACUUGCCAAAAAUAACCAAUCUCUUCUAUGAGAAAGAAGAUUGUCAAUGAGAGGGAAAAGAAAAUUUGCGAUGGUAAAAUUGCUUUGUUCUUUUAAAGAGAAAAAUGUAUGACCGCCUGAGGAAUUCCUCCGGUGUAAAUUAAAUUAAAAGUAGCAUUUCAUCUAUUUAUCAAGAGUGAGUCAUAAUAGGUUGACAAAAGACACUUGGAACAUAAUGCUCCUUUUCCUUCUGUUAUCUUUAAGAAAUUUAUGAUACACCACUAAAAGCUAUAUCCAUUUGAUGCAUUAACAUACAAAUUGAUUUUAUUUCAGGGCUGACAUUCUGAUUUUCAUGCUUCUUUUAAGUGUGUGUCUGGCGAUCUUGGGGUUUUUGCAUGAAUUACUUCCUUUAGUUUUAACAUAGGAAACGCAUUUUCAUGUACCAGCAAAAAUUAUCACUGCUCUAUCUUGGCAAUACAAUGAUCAGAAUUUGCUUUAGGAACAUGGUUUCAUCUAAUCCAUGAUUAAAGCUUUUCCUUGGGUAAACCAAAAAAUUACUAAAUCUCAUAUUAGAUGAGUGAUUAGUAUGCAUCAUUGAUAUUAAAAAAUUACUAAAGCUUUUCACUUGGACCUUAGGAAUAGUUAGGAUACUUAUGUCAUGACAUAGGAUUCCGAUAUGUGAUUACAUGUAAGGCCACGUCUAUGACGUUGGCAUCGAUUUGCGAUUUACGUGUAAGACCAUGUCUGGGCAUCGACAUCGUAUAGGAGUUUGUGUAAGACCCUGUCGGGGACAGUGGCAUCGAUAUUUGAUUUCAUGUAAGACCACGUCUGGGACGUUGGCAUUGAAUGAGCUUUUCAAGUUAUCCGAGUAUCCUAUUUAAUUCCAAAGGGUUCAACAGGCAAUAUCGAGUUAAGAUCGAAUGUAAAAAUGAGCUAAAUGGUUCUGGUACGUACAAAGUUAAAUGAUUAUGAAAAAGGUAAGAGUUGAUAUGUGAUGUGAUCAUAAGAAUUACAUGAGAAAUGUGAUUGAACAUGUGUAUGGAACUAAGUAGAUUCGGUUAUUUCGAAUUGAAUUAUGGAUGUAUUCAUGAUGUUUUAUUUGUUUAUGACUUACUAAGCUAUUCAAGCUUACUUUGUGUGUUUAUUCAACAUUUUAUAGAUUUUUGAAAGCUAGCUUUGAGCUCGGGGAUCGUCAAGGAUUAUCGUCACACUAUCAACUAUUAUUCGGUACUUUUGAAGUUUGUAAUUAAGACAUAUGGCAUGUAUAGGCUAGUUUUGAUAUGUUUGGGUUUUGAAAUUGUGUAUAAAUAGCCAUGCGAAAAUGGAUUGAUCAUGAUGUUAAUGUUUGUGAGAAUUCGGUCAUGUUUUAAGCUUAUUAUGGAAGUAUGUUUCAUG
rnacentral:lncRNA from 1 species